rnacentral:lncRNA from 1 species
GUGAAGUGAUUUUUUUUCUUUCUGCUAAUCUAUUUAAUAUACACACCCACGGUGCACACAGUUUAUAUGAAUUAUUUUCUCAAGACAUAAUUAUGAUAUCACUUGGCACAUAUAGGAAAAAAGUUAUUAGAAAGAGAUUUGAAGGACGAAGGAUUAAUGCAUUUUCUAGUUUGUCACGCUAUUUAACAUUUCCAAUUCCAGAUUAAAAACCAAUUCCCACG